GGGAGGGCGGCGUUCAAGCAAGGCCUGCAUCGACGCUCACCAGCAGCCCGCCUUGCCCCUUUCCACCUCAAUCGCUAUCUUCCUCCUGCGCUAGGCUGGGUGGUUGCUCUUAAUCAGACUGGCGUUCAAGGAAGAAGAAAUCCCCACGGGAAGAUCACCCAGUCAGCCGCACUGCCACAGUGCCGCAAGCAAACUUGUGUGAAUUGCCGUCCAGCUAGGGCCCUCUGCCUGCAAGAAACUUGUAUGGAUUGGACUGUAUUUCAUGGUGUUGUUUGUCAUUCUUUGGUUUGGAGAACUCGAUUAGUUCUUCAUCUGUCUAGACAGAAAAUUUUAGAAAUUUAUUAGUUCUGCUUUAUCCGGUGUUCUUUUAUUUAAUGAAUGGCUACGGGAGAUACUAAUCAGCUUUGUAUUUGAUUUUACGCUGGAGUAGAGUGCUUAGUUAACUAGCGAUGGCUUUGUCUUGUUA